UAAUAGCCUGGUUUCCAAUAGGAAGUAUUUAAGAAAUAGAUGCGGGUUGUAUCCCCACACUCCUGUGACCAGCUUUUUAUCAAUGCAUCAGAUUGUUGAAACGGGGCUGCUGUCAAGCAAAAUUUUGGAUUGACUCUUGAAUCAAAUCACAGAAAGUUCAAAAGGCUAUUUGAUCACACUGAGAGUCCACAUAAGAAAACUAAGAAGUUGCUUCCAGGUCCAGCUUAGCCUAAUGGUAUAGCAGCUGAGGAGAUGGAUGAUGGGUGAUUGAAAUGAUAACCAUUUCCAAUGAUGAAGCCCGUAGUCAUGGUGGAAUAUCUCCAAGGUUACAUGGAAAAAGUAAUGUAUUUACAUGUGGCAGUGUCCAAACUUUAAUUCUAGUUGAGGAUGUGGACAUGCUUUUUCUUGAAGACCGCGGAUGUAUCGCUGCCAUACAACACAUUUCUGAGACAGCAAAAGGGCCAAUUAUAUUGACCAGUAAUAGUUUGUGUCACAGAAGAACUCAACAAUAAUCCUCUUUUACUGAAAAAAUUUAUCCAGUCUUGUGAUGGAGAUAUUCGUAAAACCAUUAUGCAGCUUCAGUUCUGGUUCCAGAGUAAAAAAUAUAAAAUAGGUGUGUUACACUUACAUAGCAAUUACGUUUGUUGCAUGUGUUGAUGUUUAUGACUUAAAACCAUAGUUCAAAUUUGGGCUUA